GGGGGGGGGGGGGGGGGGGGGGGGGGGGGGGAGGUGGGGGGGGGGGGCCCGGCGGUGGGGGGGGGCGCGGGGGGCGAGCGGGUGGGGGAGCCGUGCGUCCCCUGCCGUUGCCUGUGGGCGAGCUUCAGGGGCCUGGGGCUCAUGCCGGCUACGAGCUCCUGCCGCGGGGUGGUGGUUGGCCAGCUUCGGCGGUUGGGGAUGGACUCGCGGCGUCUCAGCUUGUUGGUGGGGUAGUCGCUGACCCAGGCUUGCACGGGUAGCCGGGCUGAGAGGCGGACCGGCCACAUUGGGACUGAGAUACGGCCCAGACGCCUACGGGAGGCAGCAGUAGGGAAUAUUGCACAAUGGGCGGAAGCCUGAUGCAGCAACGCCGCGUGCGGGAUGACGGCCUUCGGGUUGUAAACCGCUUUCGCCUGUGACGAAGCGUGAGUGACGGUAAUGGGUAAAGAAGCACCGGCUAACUACGUG
rnacentral:rRNA from 1 species